GAUGAACGCUGGCGGCGUGCCUAAUACAUGCAAGUCGAGCGAACAGACGAGGAGCUUGCUCCUCUGACGUUAGCGGCGGACGGGUGAGUAACACGUGGAUAACCUACCUAUAAGACUGGGAUAACUUCGGGAAACCGGAGCUAAUACCGGAUAAUAUAUUGAACCGCAUGGUUCAAUAGUGAAAGACGGUUUUGCUGUCACUUAUAGAUGGAUCCGCGCCGCAUUAGCUAGUUGGUAAGGUAACGGCUUACCAAGGCGACGAUGCGUAGCCGACCUGGGAGAGUGAUCGGCCACACUGGAACUGAGACACGGUCCAGACUCCUACGGGAGGCAGCAGUAGGGAAUCUUCCGCAAUGGGCGAAAGCCUGACGGAGCAACGCCGCGUGAGUGAUGAAGGUCUUCGGAUCGUAAAACUCUGUUAUUAGGGAAGAACAAAUGUGUAAGUAACUAUGCACGUCUUGACGGUACCUAAUCAGAAAGCCACGGCUAACUACGUG
rnacentral:rRNA from 1 species